UGUGAGGUAAUUGGUGUGUACGACAUACGUGUGGAAUAUCAACGUCUUCCGACUGAUUGUGAAUGCAACCUAAUGAGCGUGCGAUCGAGGGAACAAAGAUAUUGGAUUUUAUCGUUCAAUGGGAUUUCUUAUGUAAGAAGAUAAUCGGUUCUAGAAUUCUCGGAAGGGGUAUAUUAGGAUAUCUAUAUACAACUUUCUUCCGUGGACUACAAAGUUCCCAAUGAUGUUUUCAUCAGGUCUUAAUUGUAAUCUCUCCUUCCCAAGUUGUUUGGGUUAUCCACAAGAUAGUGAAGAGUUGAUUCCGAAAAUGGCACGUGAACCAAUCAUUUUAAAUGUUUAUGAUAUGGUAAGCUACUAUAUUUAUUAUCAUCAUAAAAUAAAAAAGUUUUUAAUCUUUUAACUGCUAUAGGUAUACAGGGUAUCUGCAAAGUCCAACCCCACCACUGGAUCUCGGAAACGGCUGUAAAUAUGGAAAAAU